rnacentral:rRNA from 1 species
UAAAAUAAUUAAGGGCACACAAAGGAUGCCUAGGUAGUAAGAGCCGAUGAAGGACGUGGUAAGCUGCGAUAAGCCUAGAUAAGUUGCAAUCGAACGUAAGAGUCUAGGAUUUCCGAAUGGAGCAAUCUAUUAAGAUGGAGUCUUAAUACGAAAGAGGGAACCGCGUGAACUGAAACAUCUAAGUAACGCGAGGAAAAGAAAGUAAAAACGAUACCCAAAGUAGCGGCGAGCGAAAUGGGUCAAGCCUAAACCUUAAAUAUGUCAAGGAUACAGCCGUUGUAUUUAAGGGGUUGAGGGACAGAGUAGUGAAGAACUGUAAGAUAUUCAAUAUAGUGUAUUGAUGAAUUGGAAUUGUCUGGAAAGGCGAACCGUAGAAGGUGAAAGUCCUGUACAAGUAAAUCCUUACACAUAUAACUCUGCUCCCAAGUAACAUGGAACACGAGGAAUUCUGUGUGAAUCUGUGAGGACCAUAUCUCAUAAGGCUAAAUACUCUUACUAACCGAUAGCGCAUAGUACCGUGAGGGAAAGGUGAAAAGAACCCCUGGAGGGGAGUGAAAUAGAACCUGAAAUUGUGUGCUUACAAGCGGUCAGAGCCAGUGAUGGUGAUGGCGUGCCUUUUGGAGAAUGAUCCUGCGAGUUACGUUAAACGGCGAGGUUAAGUAUAACGGAGCCGAAGGGAAACCAAGUCUUAAUAGGGCGAUUUAGUCGUUUGGCGUAGACGCGAAACCUGGUGAUCUAAACCUGUCCAGGAUGAAGCUGUGGUAAGACACAGUGGAGGUCCUAACCCACCGCCGUUGAAAAGUUGGGGGAUGAGGUAGGUUUAGGGGUGAAAAGCCAAUCGAACCAGGAGAUAGCUCGUUCUCUCCGAAAUGCAUCUAGGUGCAGCCUUGAGUGUUCAAUUAUGGGGGUAGAGCACUGAAUGAUCUAGGGGGCGUAUUGCUUACUGAAAUCAAUCAAACUCCGAAUACCAUAAUUUAGAGCUCAGGAGUGAGACUAUGGGAGUUAACUUCCAUUGUCGAAAGGGAAACAACCCAGACCACCAGCUAAGGUCCCUAAUUAUAACUAAGUGGGAAAGGAGGUGGAGAUUCACAAACAACUAGGAGGUUGGCUUAGAAGCAGCCAUACCUUUAAAGAGUGCGUAAUAGCUCACUAGUCGAGAGUCUCUGCGCCGACAAUGUAACGGGGCUAAGUUAUAAACCGAAGCUGUGGAAUCCGUAAGGAUUGGUAGGAGAGCGUUCUGUAGGCCGUUGAAGGAGAAGGGUAACCGACUCUGGAGGUAUCAGAAGUGAGAAUGCAGGAAUAAGUAGCGAGAAAGGGGGCGAGAAUCCCCCUCGCCGGAAGACCAAGGUUUUCAGGGUAAAGCUUGUCUUCCCUGAGUAAGCCGGGACCUAAGCCCAGGCUAUAAUGCGUAGGCGAAUGGAAAACAGAUUAAUAUUUCUGUGCCAGUCAUAUAUUGUGAUGGAGGGACGCAGAAGGGUAUGCGCGCGGACGAACGGAAGUGUCCGUAGAAGUAUGUAGGAUGACUUGAUAGGAAAAUCCAUUGAGUUAUAUCUGAGGUAUGAUAUACAGUCGUAAGAUGAAUGCGCAAAUCCCACGCUGCCAAGAAAAGCUUCUAACGUUAAUAUUUGACUGCCCGUACUGCAAACCGACACAGGUGGUCAGGAUGAGAAAUCUAAGGCGGACAGGCUAACUCUCGUUAAGGAACUCUGCAAAAUAACCUCGUAACUUCGGGAGAAGAGGAGCCCUUGAGGGUCAGUAUCCACGCGAUACAAAGCGCUCGAGGGUCGCAGUGAAGAGGCUCAAGCAACUGUUUAACAAAAACACAGGUCUAUGCUAAGCUGGAAGGCGAUGUAUAUGGGCUGACACCUGCCCAGUGCUGGAAGGUUAAGAGGAGGAGUGAGAGCUCCGAAUUGAAGCCCCAGUGAACGGCGGCCGUAACUAUAACGGUCCUAAGGUAGCGAAAUUCCUUGUCGGGUAAGUUCCGACCUGCACGAAUGGUGUAAUGAUUUGAGCGCUGUCUUGACGGGAGGCCUGGUGAAAUUGUAUUACCGGUGAAGAUACCGGUUACCUACAGUAGGACGGAAAGACCCCAUGGAGCUUUACUGUAGCUUGGUAUUGGGUUUUGGCAUUGCAUGUAUAGGAUAGUUGGGAGACUGAGAUGAUAUGGCGCUAGCUGUAUCGGAGUCAUCGGUGGAAUACCAACCAUUCAAUGCUGAAAUUCUAAUCUGUGGUUUGUAGCCACGGAGACAGUGCUAGGUGGGCAGUUUGACUGGGGCGGUCGCCUCCCAAAGAGUAACGGAGGCGUUCAA